GGUCAGCGGCGGACGGGUGAGUAACACGUGGGCAACCUGCCCGCAAGACCGGGAUAACUCCGGGAAACCGGAGCUAAUACCGGAUAACACCGAAGACCGCAUGGUCUUUGGUUGAAAGGCGGCCUUUGGCUGUCACUUGCGGAUGGGCCCGCGGCGCAUUAGCUAGUUGGUGAGGUAACGGCUCACCAAGGCGACGAUGCGUAGCCGGCCUGAGAGGGUGACCGGCCACACUGGGACUGAGACACGGCCCAGACUCCUACGGGAGGCAGCAGUAGGGAAUCUUCCGCAAUGGGCGAAAGCCUGACGGAGCGACGCCGCGUGAGCGAAGAAGGCCUUCGGGUCGUAAAGCUCUGUUGUGAGGGACGAAGGAGCGCCGUUCGAAGAGGGCGGCGCGGUGACGGUACCUCACGAGGAAGCCCCGGCUAACUACGUGCCAGCAG
rnacentral:rRNA from 1 species